GUGUUCACGUUGGCAAUACAUAUACUUAAAUUGGAACUAUACAGAGAAGAUUAGAACGGUCCCUGAGCAAGGAUGACACGCAAAUUCGUGAAGCCAUUUUGUUUACU